ACGAAAAUUCUAUCCCACUUCAUCCCUGAAAUAUGUUCCUGCCCUGGGUGUCUGUUCUUACACCGCUUCUGAUUCUGGAAGGAGCUAAUGGAGAGUCAGUGACACAACCUGAUGACAGAGUGACAAUAUCCGAAGGGGAACCAGCGCUGCUGAAAUGCAUCUAUGACUAUGACACUUCCUAUACUAUUCCUACGCUCUGGUGGUACGAGCAGUACCCAGAUGAAGCCCCUCGCCUCCUGCUGGGAGACUAUGAAGCAUCGGAUGAGGAGGAGAGAAGGAGCCGGCGAGGGUUCUUCGCCACAUACGACAGACAGGGGAAGACUUUCCACCUGAAGAAAAACUCCAGUGAACUUCGCGACUCCGCCGUCUACUACUGCGCGAUGAGAGACACAGUGAUCGCACGCAGCAGGGCCGCUGCACAAAAACCCGCUGGGGGAAGAGGAGGCGUCACUAAAGAUGUGUGGGUUCGAGCCCCAGAAGAACAGACUUUUCACAGCGCCAUUGGAGUCAGUGAAUCCCAUCCCGUGGUAUCCUGCUGUUAGUUGGUUUAUCUCCUUAGACUGACCUCACACUUGGUAAAGCAACCCCCAUUCUUUCAUGUAUUUAUACCUGUUCCUCUAUUUCCUCUCCAUGCCUCUGAUGAAGUGGGUUCUAACCCACGAAAACUUAUG